GAGGACCUUGAUAUUAAGUCUGAUGGAGCAUGCCGCGUGAGUGAAGAAGGGUUUCGGCUCGUAAAACUCUGUUGUUAAAGAAGAACACCUUUGAGAGUAACUGUUCAAGGGUUGACGGUAUUUAACCAGAAAGCCACGGCUAACUACGUGCCAGCAGCCGCGGUAAUACGUAGGUGGCAAGCGUUGUCCGGAUUUAUUGGGCGUAAAGCGAGCGCAGGCGGUUUUUUAAGUCUGAUGUGAAAGCCUUCGGCUUAACCGGAGAAGUGCAUCGGAAACUGGGAGACUUGAGUGCAGAAGAGGACAGUGGAACUCCAUGUGUAGCGGUGGAAUGCGUAGAUAUAUGGAAGAACACCAGUGGCGAAGGCGGCUGUCUAGUCUGUAACUGACGCUGAGGCUCGAAAGCAUGGGUAGCGAACAGGAUUAGAUACCACCGUAGUCCCA
rnacentral:rRNA from 1 species